rnacentral:tRNA from 1 species
GGGCGUGUGGCCUAGUGGUAUGAUUCUCGCUUUGGGUGCGAGAGGCCCUGGGUUCAAUUCCCAGCUCGCCCC